rnacentral:rRNA from 1 species
UACGUAGGGGGCUAGCGUUGUCCGGAUUUAUUGGGCGUAAAGAGCGUGUAGGCGGCCAGGUAGGUCUGCUGUGAAAACUCGAGGCUCAACCUCGAGACGUCGGCGGAAACCAUCUGGCUAGAGUCCGGAAGAGGAGAGUGGAAUUCCUGGUGUAGCGGUGAAAUGCGCAGAUAUUAGGAAGAACACCGGUGGCGAAGGCGGGUUGCUGGGCCGACACUGACGCUGAUGCGCGAAAGCCAGGGGAGCGAACGGG